GGCACUGUGAAACAUAAACUAGUCACACAGCUCUUUGCUGAGGAGCAACUGGGCACUACUGAAGAAAUGCACCCUGGCUCUUUCUCCUGUGGUGGUAGGGACUCUGGGAACUGGAGAAAAGGCUUCUUGAUUUUUUUGAACUCUUCUGAGACCAAAAGAAAAAUAAAUCAAAGAAGACCUCUGACCUUGGGACUUCAAAAGAGAAACCAGGAACAACAAUAAAAUGCCCCUAUUCCAUGACCCUGACAGUUCUUCAGGAAAAUGAGGCCCCCAAAGUGACAAGGUAUCCUAGUAGAAGCAUCAGAAGUCUGACCUUGGAGGAGCCCUGCCACCUAUUGGCUCUACCAAGGGGAAGAGGCACCUAGUUACCUGUUCCUGUCAGAAGCUGUCUGGGUCCUAAAGCCUGGUUGUUACAGAACUGGAAAAAACAGAAAAGCAAGUUGUUCCAGGUGCUGGUUUGGUGGCUCCGUCACUGUGCUUGGGCACUCUAAGUCCCCACUGUCAUCUUUGGGGUGUAAUCUUAAGAAGAGACAGCCAACCACUUGGCCCAAGAUGAAGGCGAGGCUGAGAGUUGACCUGGUUCCAGGCUGGCGUGAUGGCCUGCGGGGUGUCAGGGUGCAACUGUGACUCCAUCUCCUCAGGGGACCUGUCAACCCCAAGAGCCCUGAGAAUUCCCCAGAGGAAGCUGAGUGCAAAUCUCCCCACCUCCCGACCUGGCCAAGGUGAUCAGCUGUGGUUCCGUAUCCACUGGGUUCUUCCAGUAUCUUCUUCUGCAACCGUCUGACAUCUGUUGUCUGGGAGACACGUCUGGCUUCCAAAUGAACAUCUGCCCCUCCUGGUAACCCAGCCACUAUGGACAAGGAAAAGCACACAGCCUUUAAGUGAACUUGGAAGUGAG